rnacentral:rRNA from 1 species
AACGAACGCUGGCGGCAUGCUUAACACAUGCAAGUCGAACGGCAGCGCCCUGCUUGUUUGCGCUUCUGGAGGGGCGAAGGGGUAAGGAACACGUAAGUAACCGGCCCUUCACUUUGGGAUAACUUCAGGAAGGUGGGCCUAAUACCAUACAGGAUCUCCCGCUGCAGUGUGGGGGUGGGAUAGUUUCGGCGGGUGGGGAUGGAUUGGCGGGUGAUGGGCUUGCUGGUUGGGUAGUGGCUGACCAAGGCUGUGACGGGUAGCCGGCCUGAGAGGGUGACCGGCGACAUUGCGACUGAGAUACGGCCCAGACUCCUACGGGAGGCAGCAGUGGGGAAUCUUGUACAGUCGGAGGAAGCCUGAUGAAGCAACGCUGCGUGUGGGAUGACGGCCUUCGGGUUGUGAAACGCAUCAGGCUGUGACGAAGCGUGAGUGACGGUAAUGGGUAAAGAAGCACCGGCUAACUACGUG